rnacentral:rRNA from 1 species
UACGUAGGGUGCAAGCGUUGUCCGGAAUUAUUGGGCGUAAAGAGCUCGUAGGCGGUCUGUCGCGUCGGCUGUGAAAACCCAGGGCUUAACCCUGGGCCUGCAUUCGAUACGGGCAGACUAGAGUUCGGUAGGGGAGACUGGAAUUCCUGGUGUAGCGGUGAAAUGCGCAGAUAUCAGGAGGAACACCGGUGGCGAAGGCGGGUCUCUAGGCCGACACUGACGCUGAGGAGCGAAAGCGUGGGGAGCGAACAGG